rnacentral:lncRNA from 1 species
GUUUGAGGGUGUUCAUUAUUUCCACUGGUUUUAUUUGCUCUGUGUUUAGCUUCCUGAGUCAUCAUUGAUUCUGUUUCAUUAAUUACUCGUAUCCCUUUGUCGCCUAUGCCAAGUUAACUAGUUGCUUAGUGUGACAGCACCAGGCACUCUAAUUCUGAAACAAGCAAGGAGACUUGUACACAGCUGACAAAGGGAUAAUGUUUCCUAAAUUCUUGCUCCAAGUUUUUUUUUUUGUCAUAUCACGUUCGAGAUUUUAUCAAAAUUAUAAGUAACACCUUAUCCCUACUAUGAAUCGACCCUGAUAAUAUUAAUUUAAUUGACAAAAAGAACCUUGAGUUAAGGUUCCAUCAGCAGCCCCAAAGAAGCUGUUACUAUGGGUGUCAGUGAGGACUAUUAAUUUAAGAGGG